GUUUGAAUAGUUUAAUAAGAAUAAUAAUUUGUGGUGUUAUAGGUAUAGUUUAUAUUUCAGACU
rnacentral:tRNA from 1 species